rnacentral:misc_RNA from 1 species
GAACAAUUGAUAAGUGAAAUGAAUAUACUUGUUUUCCUAUUUUGUUUUUAUUUACAACGAAAUGAAUAUAACUUAAGGAAUUUUGGGUUUUAUAGAAAAUUUCAUUAAAAGAAUUUAAUUCUUACAAAAUCAUGUCACUUUUGUCAUGAAUUCGUUUCUUUUAAAAUGACUAGCAAUUUAAAAUUUUUCAAACAUCAAAUGAAAUUCAAUUGAAUUGGAUUCUUUCAUUUUUAAACUUUCGGAACACACCCAAAAAUGUUUUUCUUUCCUCUAAUUUCAGUUGGACAUUUUGUCGUAGUUGAAGAACCUUGGUGUACAAUGCAUUGCUGUUUUCAGGUGUUUCGUUAGACCUGCAGAUUUAACUUGAUCACUGCAUUAUGAAACAUGGUCCUAGUUUUCAUAAUUGUGGAGAUAAUUAUUCUAGCAUAAUCAGUAGCUCCAGAACAUGUAAUAAAUAAAACCAAUGUCUGGAUGAAGCUGCAAAUGCUAUGUAAAGCUUAUGUUUAUGAGUCUGUGAAAUGCAUCUGGCGGUUUCUACAACUUCUCAUUGGUUUCAUAUGCCGUCUUAUAGUUUUUGCAGCUCUGGUCAUGUACAACUAACUUUGGAUGAAUUCUUGGAUUCUUGAUAUUUGUCAUGUACAGUUCCUUUUCUUUUAUUUCUUCUAAUCAUGGAAUUUGUAUUGCAGGAACGCGAGAUACCUGAAGACGAU